ensembl:lncRNA
GGGAAGUCACCUGCCCAUUCAGAGAUGAGUUACUUAAAAUAUGAUUAAGGGAGGGCAGUUUUCAAACUUUGCACAGAAGACUUUUUUUACUUAUCUCAUCUUUCAUCUGGACAAAUUGCCUUGAAAUGCAUGUCCAAAGUACCCCUGGUGAGGAAACCCACUGAAAUGUGUAUCGCUCUUUAACUGGGGUUUUAAGAAAACAACAUUCCUGAGAGAAAGGAGACAAGAAGUGUCAUGUAGCAACAGAAAGCAAAGAAAAUUGCUCGCUAUGACAUGAAUUAAAUUUGCAAAGGCAGAAGCCAUGCCCCACAAAAUGACAAGAUAACAUGGGGGAGAAUAAGAUUAAUGAGUAAAAUAUUUAUUUGCUGUUUAAGGUUAAUCUGGGGUGAGAAUGAAUCUGUUGUUCAUUGUAAAGCCUUGUUCAAUUUUAAUAUGGAAAUGUCUCUGAACAUAUUCUGAACACCCAUCAAAUUGUGAUAUUGAUCAGUUAAUGAGAGACCCUUUGCAAAAUUCCGAUCUGGGUUUGAAUAAUGAAUAGCUGUAGCAGAGUGGAUCACUCAUACAUCAACGUUUGAGAUAUAAGUCACCAGUAUUAUGGCUUUUUUCUUUAUUAUUUUAAUGCAGGCUUGCUUUCCCUGGAAACAAAGCACCAAAAGUGUGAGGACUUCAAAGCCUCCUAAUUAAACUCCAGAAGAAUUUCCACCCAUCACAACCACCGCUGGUUUCUGAAAUGUCUGAGCUGAGAGACAGCUAGACCGCUUCAACCAGGCAGACCCUGUGAUUUGAUGAUAUAACUCAUGGAGCUGGUGGUAAUGCAACUGUGUUAAACCUACUUCCAAGCCUCAGGGACUUGUGCCUUGAGAACCUUUUUUUAGGCUUGGAAUCACCACAACUUCUGUUGAAAAGAAACAAAGCCCAAACGAUUGGCUCUUGUCUGCUUAAUCCUACCCCCACUUAGUGCCUCUCAAGUUUCAAACAGCAGUCCUGCCUACCGACUUUCUGUUCUUUCUGCUUAGUCCUUUAAGCUGUUAAUUAGGUGCCUUCUUAGUGAUUCUGUGAGCCCCUUAGGUAUUUGCAUUCCUAAAUGUUUCCAGGGGUUCAAUAGAACUCAUUUCACAUACCCAAGAAGUGUGCAGCCUUGGCUUUUAGUAACUACUCAACUUAAUAGGCUUUCAAGCUAUUACUGUCUUCAAGAAACACAUCUACAAAUCUCUGCCAGAAGCUGCUAUGGGUGGGAGCGUUUUGCACUGCUCUUCUUGAAACCGAAGCAUUGUACAGCCCAGCAGGCAAUAGCCACAGACAAAACAGAUCAGAUAGAAAAGGUGUUGCAGGGAGUAGUCUGUAAGUUUAACUCUGCCUAGCUCUGGAUGUAGACUUUCUGGUUCUACUGCCACUCUUCAGAAAUGUGAAGAAGAGAUUGAAAAUGUGGUGUGCAGAAGCCAGGAAGGAAAAUCUCAUGCUUUUAAGAACUCUGCUCUGUAGUUGGAUGAAUCUACCUUCUCUGCUUAAAAGUAGAGAAGACAGAUGAAUGAGCUUGAGCUGUACUUUCAAGGCUUACCACAUGUAGCAGUCUGAAGGGGAUCUGUGGAGUUUGUCUUGAGAAAAUACCACUGUUUGGGAACUAUUCCAGCUCCCAGAUGCUGAGCAUUUUGCUGUUGACCUCAGGUGCUGAAUUAACAUGAUGCAACCCAGAGAUGCGAAGGGAUUUCUUUCAUUAACAGUGCUGUGAUGCUAGUGAGAACAGAAGAUGUGUUUCCUAGACAACCACCAUCACUCUGUAAGUGAAAGAAAGUAGGAG